AUUGAACGCUGGCGGCAGGCCUAACACAUGCAAGUCGAGCGAGCGGCGGACGGGUGAGUAAUGUAUGGGGACUGCCCGAUAGAGGGGGAUAACUACUGGAAACGGUAGCUAAUAACGCAUACUAUCGGAUAACCGAUGUGGGAUUAGCUAGUAGGUGAGGUAAUGGCUCACCUAGGGGACGACCCCUAGGUGGUCUGCGAGGAUGAUCAGCCAAACUGGAACUGGGACACGGCCCAGACUCCUACGGAGGCACGAGUGGGGAAUAUUGCACAAUGGGCGCAAGCCUGAUGCAGCCAUGCCGCGUGUAUGAAGAAGGCCCUAGGGUUGUAAAGUACUUUCAGCCGGGAGGCGUUACCGACAGAAGAAGCACCGGCUAACUCCGUGCCAGCCGCCGCGGUAAUAC
rnacentral:rRNA from 1 species